CCUACGGGAGGCAGCAGUGAGGAAUAUUGGUCAAUGGGCGCAAGCCUGAACCAGCCAAGCAGCGUGAAGGAUGACGGCCCUAUGGGUUGUAAACUUCUUUUAUAAAGGAUUAAACUCAGGUACGCGUCUCUGUCUGAAUGUACUGUACGAAUAAGGAUCGGCUAACUCCGUGCCAGCAGCCGCGGUAAUACGGAGGAUACGAGCGUUAUCAGGAUUUAUUGGGUUUAAAGGGAGCGUAGGUGGGUGGAUAAGUUAGAUGUGAAAUCCAGCGGCUCAACCGUGGAAUUGCAUCUGAUACUGGCAGGCUUGAGUGCAGUUGAGGUAGGCGGAAUGCGUGGUGUAGCGGUGAAAUGCUUAGAGAUCACAAAGAACACCGAUUGCGAAGGCAGCUUACUAAGCUACUACUGACGUUGAGGCUCGAAAGUGUGGGUAUCAAACAGGAUUAGAUACCCGGGUAGUC
rnacentral:rRNA from 1 species